CGAAAAUAAUAAAACAACGAUAAUAAUAUUAUCUGAAUAGACACGUGUGAAAAAAAAAACGCUGAAUUAUUAUUAUUUCUUGUUUUUUGUGUGUGUGUGUGUGUGUGUGUGUGUGUAUUACCUAACUAGAAAAAAAAACACCAACAAAUCGCGCCGUUUCAGAUCAAGACCGUCGCGUGAGAUGAAAUUUGUCGCGGAAAAAACGAAUUUUCGA